AUUGAACGCUGGCGGCAGGCUUAACACAUGCAAGUCGAGCGAGCGGCGGACGGGUGAGUAAUGUCUGGGAAACUGCCUGAUGGAGGGGGAUAACUCCUGGAAACGGUAGCUAAUACCGCAUACCUUCAUAUGUGCCCAGAUGGGAUUAGCUAGUAGGUGGGGUAAUGGCUCACCUAGGCGACGAUCCCUAGCUUGUCUGAGAGGAUGACCAGCCACACUGGAACUGAGACACGGUCCAGAGUCCUACGGGAGGCAGCAGGUGGGAAGAUUGCACAAUGGGCGCAAGCCUGAUGCAGCAAUGCCGCGGGUGUGAAGAAGGCCUUCGGGUUGUAAAGCACUUGCAGCGAGGAGGCGUUACUCGCAGAAGAAGCACCGGCUAACUCCGUGCCAGCAGCCGCGGUAAUUC
rnacentral:rRNA from 1 species